AGCUGGUUUGCGGGGCUCGGGUGAGGUUCUCUCGCCCGUGACGGCCCCGGGCUGAGCAGCUCAGGGCUGAGAUCCUGCCGGGUUCGCUCUGGUUUCAAGGACACGGGGAGAUGAUCAGGACUUUGGGAGCCAACAUCUGCCUGGCUGGUGACGUCAGCAGCCCCGUGUAAUCCGCUUGUACUGAAGGCAGAUGCCUUAUUUGUUUGGCUGGAGAGCCAUUAAUCCCUAAUUCGGGAUCAGCAAGCGAGGGGGAAAGACCAGACCGCGCCACCCCCCACCCCAAAAAGCACCUAGCACCGAAGAGGACCCUCACCUCGCGUUCUCUGCGGGCUCCGGCGCUGCUAGGGGAAAAGCUUGAGCUCUCCGCAGGAGCUCACUCUCCGGAUCUAUGGUGGUCAGGGUAGGAGCCGCGUCCCCACGUCCUGUACGCACAGAAGCUGGUGUACAACUGAAGUCCUUGGGAAACCAAACUCCUGGAGCCACCCAUUUCCGUUUGCCAGAAUGGAGCCGCGCUCGUCUAAAGAAAUAGCCCAAUGUGCCUUCUCUCUCCCUCUCUCUCUCCCACUGAAGCUAAACUUCAGAGGCCACCGGUAGAGGUCAACUGGCCCAGUUUUAGGGCGCUGAUCGCAUUCAGACUGGACGAGGUGAAAACUACCUUUUCCCGCUAUCUUGGUCACUGGGGUCUCGGUCCUGCCGUAGUUGAAGUCAACGACUAAACUCCCAUUGACUUCAGUAAGAACAGAAACCGGCUGCUGGCGGGGGUAGGGUCUGUUUAACUUUGGCAUAUUACUCUCCCUACGGUUUAGCCUAAUUCUAAUAUAUUCAAAUAAUUCAUUUAGCAAACAUUCAAUAGGCCAACACAGCCACCUCUGGGCAUUUAGGUGUAAAUAUAACAAACACAGGCACCAGGAAACGUGCUAUACUUUUGGAGCAGAACAAGCAUGUUAGAAGUGAACCCCUGAUUCCGCAAGUCCUCACUCAUGCCAAAGAAACCAUUGGUUGCAGUGGGAGUUUUGCCCGAGUGAAGACUGCAGCUCGGGCCUAUUACAUUCACCAGAACAGAGAAGGAUUACCUCUCUCCCUUUGCCCUCCCGGAACUUUUCACAACUGAACUCUCCUUGGGCUUUCUGACGCAGAGGAGUCAAAACGGACAGUUGCAGACCCUUUCCUGGGAGCUGGUCGAACAAAUGGAAGCUUUAAUUUCGUACCUAGUGUUUCCUUUUUAAAAGCCCGAACUGUUAAUGCUUUGAGUCUGCAUGACUUAUGUUUACAAUUCGUUGUGAACAGCUUCCCAGAAUUUAAUUAAGAAAAAAUGUAAUUAUUGGAACAAUAAAAUAACCAUCCAGACCUACA